AGAGCAGGCAGCGCGAGACGCUGCAGUCGCUGCAGAGCUGAACAGCGGCCUUCCAUAUGAGCUCAUCUCAAUGAGGGUCUCUCUCUCGCUCACUCUCUCUCUUCCCUCAUGAUGAACGCUGUUCCUCUGGAUAGAAACUUUUAAAAGGACAAUGCUACAAAUUCUUCUCCAAGCAAGUUAACUGGGUCCAAGUAGAGAGAAACUAUCAAGAUCUUGAUGGGAAUCUUGCAUACUCGCAUAAUCAAAUGGAAAAUGACUUUCUGCUGAGUCUUCUGACUGGUUCCACGCAUGCUUUGAUUGGUGGUCAUGAUGGUAAAAUGGAUGGACAAUGGUUGUGGAGUGAUGGGUCUGUAAGGCUGGCACCAGGAUGUCUACACCAAAAGGCGCCAUUUCCAGUAGAAGUCAAAGAACUGUGAGAAUCAACGUCAUAGAACUUUCUCACAAAAGCUGAAAACUACACCACGUGUGAUAAAUUGCAAAUCACCUUUGCAUUGUUUUACAAAGCUGAAAUCUUCUCCUGAAUAUCAUCACAGUGUUAUAAAUUGCAAAUCACCUUGCUGCCCCCUCUUCUCUCUCCCCCUUCUCCCCUUCAACAGCUUAGGACCAAUACAAAGACACAAGAUUUAUAUGUAAAAAUAUAACAAAUACCAUGAAAACAAAGAAUGCAACUGUAUGUGUUUGAUAUCAUUUAAGAGGUCUCUGUGCGACUGGUAUAAUGGUCUCUUUCCCAUGUUGAUAAAACUAAUGGUGACAAAGUUAUAAGGUCUUUGCCAAAUACUGCAUAAUUCUGGAGGUCUAUCCCCCUCCUUGACCUACAAUUGAAAUUAUCUCCUGUAUGUUAACAAGGCUAAACCCCAGGAAGUCAAGAACCCAUUCACCCCCAAAUUCUCAUUGCUCAAAGGAUGAUACCAUUUGGUACACAAUGUUUAUUCUGUCUGGGUAUUUAAGGAAAGUUGGCAAGAAGCUCAGGGAGUCUGUAUUCAGAUCUCCCAUACUGUCACUGUAUGUAGUUCUAUUUGCCAAGUAUGUUCCUCUGACUUUGUUUGUGUUUGUUUAUUCUGAUCAUAUGUGAAAUUAGGUUUGACUGAAUUCUUGUAACAAUGUUUUAAAUUGUAACAAAGUCCAAAAUCAUUUGUGAUCAGUAGAUUGUAUUAAGAUACUGUUUGUUACCACAAGUAUGAGACCAGGAUAAGACCAUUACUGAAGCUUAAUGAUAGAAGAAUCCAUGUAAGACUUCAGUCACUGCUUAUCGUCCAUCAUAGCAAGUUGUGUGUACGUGUCUAAGCGAUUGGUAUCAUCUGAUUAUGAGAGAAGCCAAAUCAGAUGAUAUUGAGAUUACCCUACAACCUCAACCUUCAAUAUGAACUGAACUGGCUCGCUUGUGACGUGAGAUCCUCGUAAUUGAAAUAACAGCUGGCGUGAGACUCUAAGUGACAUUCAAGUACUGAUCAAAAGGACAAAUGAAAAUUAAGAUGAUUCAAAGUAAUCAAUAACUUAAAAAGAUCAGAUUAAAAGAAUGAUCAGAAGUUAAUUAGAGCUGUAAUCUAAAUUAGAGGUCAAUUUAAAUUGGAGUCAAAUUAAUAUAAAAUUGGAGUCAGAUAAAAUUAAUAACGGCAAUCAAUUUGUAAAGUGUAAAUUAACAAUAAGUGGUUUUGGUUCAGCAUUCAGAAAAGACAGAACAACGCAGAGACCUUCAAGGGGCCAUUUAUUGAAGUUCCAUUCCGAACCGAUAAGUGUGUGCCUUUUUACAGGUCCAAUUUUGGCUAUACCAAAUGAUACUGAUUGAACAAUGUAAACAAAGUAGUAGGUGGAGGUCACAACCUCUGAUGACAUGGACCAAAGUGUUUAGCAGCAGGUUAUAAUAUUUCCUAGAAGUUCACCCAGGCGAUCUGUUACGAACCACCGAAAUGAAUGCAAAACACCUUUUUGGCCAGAUUUUGUUCUAAAUGGCGUCAUAUACACUUGUAUCCCCAUUUCGUAUGAAGUAUAUCGGGGCCUUAAUAUUUCAUAAUAAGUCAAUAGACUGAAGCAGACAUUGAACUACACAUUAGAGAGGACCACAACAGAUGGAUAGUUUUUCCUUUUCUAAUUUCUUUUUUGCCUUGAUGUUUAGCCAUUGACACACAGUCACUCUUACUACCAGGUUAUCAGAAAAAUCAUUACUGUGUAAGAAAUGUGAUCAGCAGUAGUAUACAAUAUGUGCUGUCCGAAUUAUACCCACAGAAAUCAAAUCUAUCUGUUAAGAAACACAGUGGAUUAGAUGUUAAGUAAAUUACACAUUACAAUAAUAUUUAUUGUUCUUAGUUAGCCUUGUGGCUAUUUAGUACCACUCUACAUUAAUGAAAUACCGAGGGGCAGCAAUAGCACUUCCACACAGAAUCACACUCAACUUACACAACAAGACAUCUAUUUAAACUUGACUUGCUAGCAAUCUUCUUUAUAAAAAUGUUCUUUGUGUUUUGCCCACUGAGUGGUAGUAAUGAAAAUUGUAACAUUGUUCUUUUCUGUAAAAGACGGCAACAUACAAUACUAAACAGGAUGUUUCCAGCUUCUCAGCACUACAUGAUUGAAAGAUUACUUUUCCAUAUUUUGGAAAUGUCAUGACAUUUUAUAUUAGUAAUUUGGACUUGGACUAACUUGGCCACUCAGAAAACCAAACAUCCGCAUUUAACUACCAGACAGUUUUAUAUCUCAUUGGAGACUAUUUUACUCUAGUUAUUUUUUAGUAAAAAACUGAUAAUUGCAAGGAUUCAUACCUAUGAAUGGAAAUAAGCUUCAGCAGUCUCUAAAUGUUUUUUUUUUUUUUAAAUCCUCAUCCAGUAAUAAUAAUUGAUUGUGAUUGUCGCAUCCUAGCCAGCACUGAAAAAGUAACAAGUAUCACGUGACAGCACCAUCUAUGCACUGUUUCGGUAGCGGUCAGGACCUCUGGACAAUAAUUUGCACCUGAUUAAUGCUACUGAUAAACUUUAAUAAAAACAGACCUUUCCGCCAUCAUUUACUCACCCUCGUCGUUCAAAAUCAGUAUUACUUUUUUAAUCCGUGAAACACAAGAUUGAGGGAUGAGAGGAUCGUGUUUGUGGCCGUCCAAGCUCUGAAAGCACAUAUAAAAGCACCAUAAAAGUCAUCCAUAACACUCGUGCUUUAGAUUUGAAUUUUUCUGAAGCCAUAUGAUAGUGUUGUGUGAGGAACAGACCGAAAUUUAUGUGUUAAUUCACCUUAUCACUCAUUUGAAACUGGCGCACACGCAAGAAUGACCUUGUUUACAAGAGCGCACCUGAGAUAAACGCUUUGGGCUGUCAAGAGCUGCGCGCGCAGGACGCACUGCGGUGCCAGGUAUAAGAUUAAACAAGGCAGAGGAAAAGAAAUUGCGCACAUCGGUUCUUAUGUGUAUUUCCACUAUUUUUGUUGAAUGUAUUCAAGUGAAUGAGAAUUGAGGACGGGUCAGUCUUCCACGACCCCGUUGCAAUACCAUGGGCGCCGACCCACACCCCACACUUUGAGAACCACUGGACUAUGGGUAGCAUGUAAGUGGGUCUUUGAAAAGCCCAAUCAGGGUUAUUAAUGGCAAUGGCAUCAGCUAUCCAUUAUAGAGGGAUUUCAAAAAGAAGGAUUCACAACAUAUCACUCCAAAGGCCCUGCCAAACAGUCAGAUCAGCUCAGAUCACAUUAUAUGAGCUAUUUGUGCAGAAAUGUAGACAAUCAAAAGGGUUCACAAACUUUUCAUGCAACUGUAAGUUCCUUUUGUUCCAGCUGAAUGGUUUAGCAGCAGUCUUUAUGAUUAGGCACAUCAGCCCCAUAACAGUGUUUCAUUGUAAAUGCUUUUACCAAACAGGCCUGUGGGCUCGGUUUUCUCUGCAUUGUGUUUCACUGUUCUCUGUGUUGCAAGAGUUUUUCUAUUCUUGGGGGUCUCAGUCCUGUUCAGUGAACUAUGCAGUCUCAUGGGUGACAGAAAGCAAGCAAGAAAGACUAGGGCAAAUGUAAUUAACUAAACAGGAAGUGACCAUACACACAGAUCUCUGGUGGUGUUAUCUCACAAUAAAAGCUUUUUUUAGACUGUACUGAACAUGGUGUAAAAUACUUUGUAAACUAUUAUUUCCUCUGUAAGAUCUAUGCUUGCUAAAUGGAUAUUAAA